UCUCCUGAUGGUCUGUCGGCCGUAGUUGCGUCUCCUCAGCCACAGACGUCUUCGUCCUUUCAGCAAAAUAACACAGACAAAGUCAAGGACGUGAAGGUUGAUGAUGGUUCUUCAUCUCAACCUUCACCUCCUCCGAGUCAAGUGCCUUCUACCACCUCUCCUCCUCAGCAUCGCUGUCUCAAGCAUCAGCCUCCUUCUUUACAG